rnacentral:lncRNA from 1 species
CAAACUUAGAGCGAAAAUAGCGAGGGUGGUCAGGAGUAAACAUUUUCCCACCGUCUUUGGGCAUCGGAGGGUGAUGGCGCCGUCCUGCCCAGGGAUGUUCACCUGCAUUGGGGCCCACAGAAUGCCCGUGGAGGCGGGACCAAUUGUUGAGGGGCGGACUUCCCCCACUUGCAGUCUGGAGUCGGGGGUCGCCAAGUGGUGCAGUGGCAUGUUGCGGACAUACAAACAUGCAGCUGGCGGCGCGGAUGAGGUGCUGCGGGUGGUGCGGUCUGUGGGGCGCAGCCCAGGAGAGAUGUUGUCCACGUAUGAUUUUGGAGGCCUGCACC